AAGACAACCAGGAUGUUGGCUCAGAAGCAGCCAUACAUUCAAAGAGUGCGUAAUAGCUCACUGGUCGAGAGGUCCUGCGCCGAAAAUGUCCGGGGCUGAAACACGACACCGAAGCUGAGGAAUGUCUGAAGACAUUGGUAGAGGAGCAUUGGAUACGCAACGAAGCAGUACCGGAAGGAGCUGUGGAGUGUAUCGAAGAGAGAAUGCCGGAAUGAGUAGCGAGAGAGAGGUGGGAAUCCUCUCGGCCGAAUAUCUAAGGUUUCCAGGGUAAAGCUGAUCUGCCCUGGGUAAGUCGGGGCCUAAGGCGAGGACGAGAGUCGUAGCCGAUGGACAACAGGUUGAGAUUCCUGUACUGCAGUAAGACAGAACUGUGGGGACACGUGUGGAGAGCAUAGGCGCGGAAUGGAAAGCCGCGUGCAAGCGAGGUAGGAGUCCUGUAGGAAAAACCGCAGGGCAAUCCGAAGGCGUGAUGCGGACCGAAAUCUAGUAGGGAAGUAUGUGAGCCAUGCGUCAAGAAAAGCCGCUAUUGUUCUUAUUGUACCCGUACCGUAAACCGACACAGGUGGAUGAGGAGAGAAUCCUAAGGCCGACGGAAGAAGCAUUGUUAAGGAACUCGGCAAAAUGACCCCGUAACUUCGGGAGAAGGGGUGCCACAGAAAUGUGGCCGCAGAGAAUAGGCUCAAGCAACUGUUUAGCAAAAACACAGGUCUAUGCAAAACCGAAAGGUGAGGUAUAUGGGCUGACGCCUGCCCGGUGCUGGAAGGUUAAGAGGAGAGGUUAGCGCAAGCGAAGCUUUGAAUUGAAGCCCCAGUAAACGGCGGCCGUAACUAUAACGGUCCUAAGGUAGCGAAAUUCCUUGUCGGGUAAGUUCCGACCCGCACGAAAGGCGUAAUGAUUUGAGCGCUGUCUCGACAAUGCAUCCGGUGAAAUUGAAGUACCAGUGAAGAUGCUGGUUACCUGCGCCAGGACGGAAAGACCCCAUGGAGCUUUACUCCAGCUUGAUACUGGGAUUCGGUAUUGCAUGUACAGGAUAGGUGGGAGGCUGUGAAUCGGUAACGCCAGUUGCCGAGGAGCCAUUGUUGGGAUACCACCCUUGCAGUACUGGGUUUCUAACCAGCAGCCGUGACCCGGCUGGGGGACAAUGUCAGGUGGGGAGUUUGACUGGGGCGGUCGCCUCCGAAAGGGUAUCGGAGGCGCUCAAAGGUUCCCUCAGAAUGGUUGGAAACCAUUCGAAGAGUGCAAAGGCAGAAGGGAGCUUGACUGCGACACCGACGGGUGGAGCAGGUACGAAAGUAGGACUUAGUGAUCCGGUGGUAUUAAGUGGGAAUGCCAUCGCUCAACGGAUAAAAGCUACCCUGGGGAUAACAGGCUUAUCACUCCCAAGAGUUCACAUCGACGGAGUGGUUUGGCACCUCGAUGUCGGCUCAUCGCAUCCUGGGGCUGUAGUAGGUCCCAAGGGUUGGGCUGUUCGCCCAUUAAAGCGGUACGCGAGCUGGGUUCA
rnacentral:rRNA from 1 species